GUGUUGUCGGAGAGAAGGACAGAUAUUCAAAGCGAUCCUUGCAGAGCUGGACCAUGAGAUGAAGAAACACAAGCCCAGAGAACCAGAGGCACCACAUGACCACUUCUUCCACUGUCUGAACAUUCAGCACACCAAAAAUGAAGAUGAACUUGUAAAAGAUGAAAUUCCAGAACUUAUCCUUAAGAUGCUGCCUCUCGCUGACGCGCAGCGGGCCGAACACCACACGCUGGAUCAGCUUAGCGACCAGCAUCAGCACGCAGCACGCCGUGUUCACGAGCACCCAGACGCAGAGGCUGUCGGACAGCAGGUAGUACGCGACGUCCAGGGCCCGCGGCCCGCCCGCCCGCUGCUCGCCGGCCGCGCUGAGGGCGCGCUGGGCGCUGAGGGCGGCGGCCAGCAGGGCCAGGCCGCUGAGCGCCGCGUACGUGCGCAGGCUGGGCCAGGGGAAGCGCUCCAGGAACAGCAACGGCAUCGCGGAGCCCCGCGGCCGCCGCCGCCGCCGCUCGGCCCCGCU
rnacentral:lncRNA from 1 species